AAGAAGUAGUGAUACCGACCCUGAUGUCAGUUCCCCCACAUUAAACCCAGCAUGUAUGGGGUUAAAACCAAAAGCACCCAUCCUCU